GGUUCCCCGCUUGGCAGCGCCGGGCGUGUUCCCUGGGCGGGCAGGGCCGCGCCGCCGGUUUUCCCGUUCUUUUUCAUCCCGUUGGAGGGUUCGCAUCCCGGGGGGCCCUGCCGGGACGGCCCCCGGCCCGGCGGGUCGUUCAGCGGCAGGAGAGAAACAGCCGGGGAUGGAUUUUACAGAGGAGGGCGGAAGGGUUUGCCUCGCUCGCGAGGCGGGGGAGAAGGGAAGCGCGAGGGAACCAUGAUGGGCACGGCUGUUUGGCAAGCACCGUUUAGCAAAACCGGCUGCUCUCCCGUUGUUGGUUUAGAUAUUUAUGGAUAGUUGUGUCUUUCGUAAUGGCUGUCAUCUGAACAGCACAAGAUAACGAUUCCUAGAUUCUGACCCUCUACUACCCCUGAAAAAGGCAGGGGCUGCUUCCAAAGGACUGCCGGCUGGCCCUCUGGUGAUCUAGUGAGGAACUGCAACCCGCCUU